rnacentral:lncRNA from 1 species
CGACACAUUCACCUCCACAACGAGUUUCACAAGCAGAUUUUUCCUUGCCACUAGAAGUACAUAAAGCUACACAUUUAGUGCAACAUUUUCCAUAAUCAUCAGCCAUAUUUUCAUAUGUCUUUCUGAAUCUUUCAUCAUUUACUUCUUUGGUAGCCAUGGAGAUGUCCACACAUGAAGAAACCACAAAAAUGCAAAUGAGAAACAAUGAAAAAAGCUUCUUUGAUGCCUCCAUUUUUAUUUUUUUUUGUUUUUUAAAUAUGUUUUUUUUUUUGGUUUUUAAACGAUUUGAUUAAUGUUAUUGAAUAUCCAAUUUAUAGGUGUUUUGGGACAUCAAAUGCCUCAAAUUAAAGUGGUUGAUAACCAAUUUUUGUAGGGAAUUAUUGGUUGUGGUUGUGUGUGAUUUCUUUUUAGUUGGUAUUUAGAGACUUAGUUUACUAAAUAUUAGGAAUUAUAACAUGAUAUCUCAAUAAGAAAAGAAUUUCGAUAAAUCGAAAUUGAUAACCUGAAUUAAAAAAAUAUUGGUUUAUUGAUUAAGCGAUUUCGGUAAUGAUUUUUUUUAAUUUCAUUAUGGGGAUUUUUUUUAUCCUUAAUAGAUAACCUGAAAGUAAAUCAAUAAAUUAUAUUUAUACCAUUUGGCAUAUAAAGUUCUUGACUUAAGGUUUAGUUUCAUACUUUUUAGUUUUUGUUGUCUCAAACUCUUGGUUAUUCUAUAAUGUGUCAGUAUUUGUUUUUGAGCAAGAUGCAAUCUGCCAACUCAUGUGCGUGGUUCAUUUUGGUUUGUCACCUUCUUUUUAUGUGAUUUUCAAUGUGAUUUUUUGUGUGAAAUUUUAACGGCUAAACCGACAACAGAAUCGACAACAAUCAAUAACUAAUAAGUUCAUAUUUUAAUGGUUCUAAAAUGGUUUAGUUUUAGACAAUGGUGAACCCAUAAUUUGAAGUACUUGUGUGCACUAAUAUAAACAUAGCUCAAAUAUGAGGUCUAAGAUAAACUUAAAAUAAAAACAAUAAAAAAACAAGCUUGAGUAGGAUUUGAACCCUAAUUAAGAGGGUGGUAUCUCUAGCUUCAACCAAUUGCACAAGGACACUUCUAUGUUUUUUAUGGGUACACUGUUAAAUAUAUCCUAAUUUCUAUCGAUUUUUCAAAAUAGAUAUACCUAUAUACAUAUAAUUUUUUCGGAAGUUAGCGGGUGCACGUGCACCCUCUCAUAUAGUGUGGGUGCACCCCUGGUUUUAGACUCUUAGUUUGAUGUUUCAAAUGGCUCGGGCUUGGCGAGGGAUUUACGUUAUAACGACAUCCUACAUGAAAUUUUUUUUCCUACGUGUAUUUUGUCAUGUAGGACUCAUAUGCCUACUUUUUCAAGCUUAUACAAGUUUAAGUGACUACUUGUGCAUACACAAAGUUAAAGGGCACAAUUGUAAAAUGAGGUCAAGUUAAAAGGCGGAUAUAUGUAUUACGCCCCAAUAAAAUGCUCUUCUUGGAAUUACUUUAAAAAUAUGAAAAUAUUUUUGAAAACACCAUGAUCCACGAUUUUAUUUUGAUAUUUAGUAGUCAUUUAACAAAAAUUAGGCAUUUAACCCAAAUUAAGCGAUUUUUUUAAUUUUUUGUUGAUAUUAUUGCUUCACUUGAUUCUUUUGAAAAAUCUUUACGGUACCCUUUGUAAUGUGUUGGGGAGCAGUGUUGCCAAUCUGUGUUAAGAAAAACAGAAAUUAUUGGUUGUAAUAAAUCAUUCAGAAACACGAAGUAAUUGAGAUUUUUAGAACCAGUAAAUAAGAUGAACAGAAAUUUAUUUGUAAAAAAUAAUUUAAUUUGUAAAACUUACCAGAAUCUGGAAUACUCUUUUGAAAAAAUUUAGGAAGAAAAUCAAGUCCACUGAAUUCACAGUGUCCCCUUAAGGAGAUUAUUCCCCUCUAGUAUCCGAGGUUUGAUUUGGAAUAUAACCUCCCAGGGUAAAAUGAUCUUAAUAAGUAGAGUAUAGAUACCAAAAACUCUACUGUCUGCGAAUCAAUCCACAGUAGGAAAGUACACGAAGAAAUAUAUGUGUUUUUAAGAAGAAGGAAGAUCAGAAAAAAUGUUAGAAAUAUUCUGAAGACUGAAUGGUAUUUAUAGGCAAGAAUAAUAUAUUCUGAAAGGUUGCUACCCUUUCAGAAUUGACACGGCCAUUAAUGGAAGGUUGCAAACUUUCAAAUGGUAUUGACUGUUCCUGAAAGUUGCAACCUUUCAGAACAGUCAUGGCGGGAAAUUUUGAAUAUAACGGAAUUUAAAACGGGUUACUCGCGCGGAUCCGAGUCGGGUCGGGUUAAUUAAAGAGUUGAAAACAUUUCGGUUAAAUUCUGUUAUCAACUAAUUUAUUGAAAAUAAUUUUUGGCAAAUUAAUUAAUAAAUAAUUAAAAUAAAUUUUGUCCAAAAAAUUAUCUCUCGAUCGAUCAUUUGCAAAAGCCAAAGCCAAAGCCGAAGCGAGCGAGCGACGACGACGACGGCGCGAGGGGGGUCCCUCUUUCCAACCCUUUUAAUAAUUAAUAGGAGUGUUUAUUUAUUUAAACUCUCCUAUUUUCAUUUCCAUUACCGAAGAGGGACUAUUGCCUUUUUCAAUAAAGCAUUAGAGGACUUUUCAAGUUUCCAACCUUUCAAGUUCUAAACUUUUCAAAUUCCUCUCCUUCCCUCUAUUUCCCAUCAAUUCUUGCUACAUACCCAACAAUCCCCCACAUUGAUGGGGAAUAGUUAUAACAUAGGAAUGCACGGACAAUUGUUUACUUUACUAGCAAGGAUUAAUUGCAUCUGGAUAAGUAGGUUUCCCCUUGGACUUUCCGUAGUGAACAUAUGUUAGAUAUACUCGGUCAAUCGGUAGAUGUGAUAUCUUUGAACCGUUGAACUUUGGUGUAUACCUAGACAACCAUAUGUCACACAAUUAACCCUUUACUGUUUAUGAUUCUUACGGUUGUGUUCGUUUCAGCCAUGAACACCUCCUGGUUUCAUGAGUGUAUAAAGAAUAGGCUUUUGACAUAAAAUUCUCUAAGCGACUUUCACUUCACACUCACAUAGGUGAUUUCUAACCGUGUCAUCUCGUAGAUACACUAUUUUGUCAAAUCUACCAAACUUAGCAAAUCAUUAAAAACUUUAAGCUUUAUUACCUCAUUAACAAGCCUUAAAGUCUUAACCUUUUCCUGAACAUUGUCUUCAUCAUGAGAAUAGAUUGAGUUAAUUGACAAUGUCGAACCGUCAGCCACAACUUUGUUUUUCUCCUUGAAUCUAGCUCUUGGGAUCUCCAGUCUGCUACAUAGAGUUACCGUCAUGCUGACUUGUCCUAAGCCGUAAACCCAUUCCCUUAGAUGAUCUUUCAACUGCCUCUCUCACUAGGCCUUUCUUUAGUGAAUCUGACACAUUAUCGUUUGACUUUACAUAGUCAAUUGUGAUAAUUCCACUAGAGAGCAGUUGUCUUAUGGUGUUAUGUCUACGUCGUAUAUGACGAGACUUCCCGUUGUACAUAACGCUCCCUGCCCUACCUAUUGCUGCUUGACUAUCGCAGUGUAUGUAAAUUGGUCCAACAGGUUUGGGCCAGAAUGGAAUAUCCUCUUCCGGAGCCAUUCCGCUUCUUCACCAGCCUUAUCCAAAGCAAUAAAUUCAGAUUCCAUUGUGGAGCUGGUCGAGAGAGUACGAUACAUCGGUGUAAAAGAUUUCCUUUUUUCUGUGAGCUUGGUUUACUUGACCGAAGGGUGCAGUAGAACUUGAAGGAGAGGAAUAAAUACCUGGUCUAUAAUUUUGACAAAAGGAUUUGGAAGAUUUCCAAGAGACAGCUCCUCCACCAAGUAUGAAUACAUAACCACUCGUGGAUUUUACAUCAUUUGACCUGGUGAUCCAAUUUGCAUCACUAUAUCCUUCAAUCACAGCAGGAUAUUUAUUAUAAUGCAAAGCACAAUGUUGUGUCCAUUUUAAAUAACCCAACAGACGUUUCAUAGCCAUCCAGUGAGUUUGAUUCGGAUUACUAGUGUACCGACUCAGUUUACUAAUAGCACAUGCUAUAUCUGGUCGCGUGCAAUUCAUAAUAUACAUCAAACUUCCCAACACUCUGGCAUAUUCCAAUUGAGAGUCACUUUGACCUUCAUUCUUUUUAAAUGUACAACUUAAAUCAAUUGGAGUUUUGACUACAUUGAAAUUCAAGUAAUUGAACUUAUCCAAUACUUUUUCAAUAUAAUGAGAUUCAGAUAAUGCUAGUCUCUGGGGAGUUUUGAUAAUCCUGACCCCUAAGAUCAAAUCAGCAACUCCUAAGUCUUUCAUAUCGAACUUGCUGGACAACAUGUGCUUAGUAGCAUUUAUAUCGUCAAUUUCUUUACUCAUUAUUAACAUGUCAUCAACAUACAAACAAACAAUGACUUCAUGAUUCAUAACGUUUUUAAUGUAAACACAUUUAUCACAUUCGUUAAUCUUGAAUCCAUUUGCCAACAUAUUUGAUCAAAUUUAGCAUGCCAUUGUUUGGGUGCUUGUUUGAGUCCAUAAAGUAACUUCACAAGUCUGCACGCUUUCUUUUCUUUACCAGGAACUAUAAACCCUUCAGGCUGUUCCAUGUAAAUUUCUUCCUCUAACUCUCCAUUUAAGAAGACUGUCUUUACAUCCAUUUGGUGGAUUUUAAGAUCAUGCACUGCUGCUAGUGCUAUUAACAUCCUAAUUGAUGUUAUCCUUGAUACUGGAGAGUAUGUGUCAAAGUAGUCCAGACCUUCCUUUUGUCUAUACCCUUUGACUAUCAGUCUAGCCUUAUAUUUGUCAAUAGUCCCAUCAGGUCUCAUUUUCCUUUUAAAGAUCCAUUUUGAUCCUAAAGGUUUAUUUCCUGGAGGAAGAUCAGUCAAUUCCCAAGUGUGAUUGCUUAAAAUUGAUUCAAUCUCACUAUUGACUGCUUCUUUCCAAUAAGUUGACUCUGAAGAAGACAUAGCUGCUUUAAAUGUUUAAGGCUCAUUUUCAAGCAAUAGUGCUACAAAAUCUGGUCCAAAAGAAACAAAUUUUCGUUGUCGAGUACUUCGCCUAGGUUCCUCACUAGUUAGAAUAUUUUCCAUUGAUUCUUCUCGUGGUCGUUUAGGUCUUUCACUUGUUGACUCACUUUCAGUUAUAUACGGAUAAAUGUUUUCAAAAAACUCUGCAUUAUCUGAUUCAAUUAUCGUAUUAACAUGAAUCUCAGGAUUAUCAGAUUUGUGAACCAAAAAUUGACAGGUUUUACUAUUCACAGCGUACCCAAUAAAGGCACAAUCUAUUAUUUUGGGUCCAAUUUUAACCCUCUUAGGUAAAGGAACCUCUACCUUGGCUAAACACCCCACACUUUGAAAUAUUUCAAGUUGGGUUUUCUUCCUUUCCACAACUCAUAUGGAAUUGAUUGUGUUUUUUGAUGGGGUACUCUAUUGAGUAUUUUAUUAGUUGUAAGGAUGGCUUCCCCCCAAAGAUUUCGCGGUGAACCAGAAUUGAUCAUUAAGGCAUUCAUCAUUUCCUUUAAUGUUCUAUUCUUCCGUUCUGCCAAACCAUUUGACUGUGGUGUAUAAGGUGCAGUAGUUUGACGAAUAAUACCAUAUUCCAAACAUAUCUCUGCAAAAGGAGAUUCAUAUUCUCCACCCCUAUCACUUCGAAUCAUUUUUAUCUUUAGAUUCAAUUGGUUUUCCACUUCAUUUUUGCAUUGCUUAAAUGCAUCAAUUGCUUCAUCUUUACUAUUAAGCAAAUAUACAUAACAAAAUCGAGUACAGUCAUCAAUAAAAGUUAUAAAGUACUUUUUCCCACCACGAGAUGGUGUUGACUUCAUAUCGCAUAUAUCUGUGUGAAUUAAGUCUAAAGUUUUAGAAUUUCUUUCAACAGACUUGUAAGGAUGUUUAACAAACUUACUUUUCACAGAAAUUUCACAUUUCGACUUAUCGCAUUUAAAAUCAGGCAAUACUUCUAGAUUAACCAAUUUUCGCAAGGCUUUGUAAUUUACAUGUCCCAAACGGGCAUGCCAUAAAUCACUUAACUCCAAUAAGUAAACAGAAGCAGAAUUUUUAUUAAUACUGUCAAUAACCAUUACAUUUAGUUUGAAAAGACCCUCAUUGAGGUAGCCCUUUCCUAUGAACAUUUCGUUCUUACUUAUUACAGCUUUAUCACUAACUAGGACACACUUAAACCCGUUCUUAACGAGUAGUGUAGUAGAAACUAAAUUCUUCCUAAUAGUAGGGACAUGCAGAACAUUGUUUAAAGUCAACACUUUGCCGGAUGUCAUUUUCAACAUUACUUUCCCAGUUCCUGCAAUCCUUGCUGUUGCUGUGUUUCCCAUGAAUAAAUCUUCAUCGUACUCAGCAGGAGUGUACGUUGCAAAGGCUUCUUUUGCAGAGCAAAUAUGUCUAGUAGCACCUGAGUCGAGAAACCACUCCUUGGGAUUUCCAACUAAGUUACACUCUGAUAUCAUUGCACACAAGUCAUCUGCAUCUUCCAUCUUUUCCACUAUUUUUGCUUGACUUUUGCCUUUGCCUUUGUUUUUGUCCUUUCUUGGAGCAUGACAAUCAGAAGAUCUAUGACCAGCCUUGCCACAAUUAUAACAGUUGCCUUUGAAUUUCUUCUUGGCCUGUUCUGACUUCUGCCCGUUGGACUUCUUUCUCUUUUUGUCUUUGGUAGGAUCUUCUUCAACAAUAUUAACUCUAAUGAUUGUUGAACUCUUACGCGACUUCUUUUCGGCAUUUCUGUUAUCUUCCUCAAUGUUGAGACGAAUCACAAGAUCUUCAAGCUUCAUUUCUUUACACUUGUGCUUUAGAUAAUUCUUGAAAUCAUUCCACGAAGGAGGCAACUUCUCGAUCAUUGCAGCCACUUGAAAAACUUCAUUUACUACUAUAUCUUCAACAAUCAGAUCGUGGAGAAUAAGUUGGAGUUCCUGCACUUGUGAUCCAACAGUUUUACUAUCUACCAUUUUAUAGUCUAAAAACUUUGCGACCACAAAUUUUUUCAAGCAUGCAUCUUCUGUCUUAUAUUUCUUCUCAAGUGCAUUCCACAACUCUUUUGAAGUUGUUAUUGCACUAUAGACAUUAUAUAAGUCAUCCUCUAAAGCACUCAAAAUGUAACCUUUACAUAGGAAGUCUGAUUGUUUCCAUGCUUCAACAAUCAUAAAUUUUUCCCUGUCUGGCAUAUCAUCAGCAGGUACUGGAGUAUCUUCACUUGUAAAUUUCUGCAGACCAAGAGUGGUAAGCCAGAAAAAUACUCAUUGCCGCCAUCCUUUGAAAUUCACACCUGUGAAUUUACCCGGUUUCUCUGCUUGUGAUACAAGAGUUCGGGUUGGUGCAGCAACAACCACUGUAACACCAGUGUUUUCCAUUUCUGAUAAACAAAAUUGAUACAAUAUAAGUAAGAAAUAAAUUAUAAUUGCAGACUUAAAGGAUUAUAAAAUCACAAAGAUUUUUGUCUCCACCAGAAACACAGAUUUAUAUCUAAUUUCCUUGAGAUUGUUGCCAAUCUGUGUUAAGAAAAACAGAAAUUACUGGUUGUAAUAAAUCAUUCAGAAACACGAAGUAACUGAGAUUUUUAGAACCAGUAAAUAAGAUGAACAGAAAUUUAUUUGUAAAAAAUAAUUUAAUCUGUAAAACUUAUCAGAAUCUGGAAUACUCUUUUGAAAAAAUUCAGGAAGAAAAUCAAGUCCACUGAAUUCACAGUGUCCCCUUAAGGAAAUUAUUCCCCUCUAGUAUCCGAGGUUUGAUUUGGAAUAUAACCUCCCAGGGUAAAAUGAUCUUAAUCAGUAGAGUAUAGAUACCAAAAAACUCUACUGUCUGCGAAUCAAUCCACAUCAGGAAAGUACACGAAGAAAUAUAUGUGUUUUUAAGAAGAAGGAAGAUCAGAAAAAAUGUUAGAAAUAUUCUGAAGACUGAAUGGCAUUUAUAGGCAAGAAUAAUAUAUUCUGAAAGGUUGCUACCCUUUCAGAAUUGACACGACCAUUAAUGAAAGGUUGCAAACUUUCAAAUGGUAUUGACUGUUCCUGAAAGUUGCAACCUUUCAGAACAGUCAUGGCGGGAAAUUUUGAAUAUAACAGAAUUUAAAACAGGUCACUCGCGCGGAUCCGAGUCGGGUCGGGUUAAAUUCUGUUAUCAACUAAUUUAUUGAAAAUAAUUUUUGGCCAUUUAAAUUAAUUAAUAAAUAAUUAAAAUAAAUUUUUUUCAAAAAAUUAUCUCUCGAUCAUUUGCCAAAGCCAAAGCCAAAGCCAAAGCCGAAGCCGAAGCCGAAGCGACGACGCGAGAGGGUCCCUCUUUCCAACCCUUUUAACAAUUAAUAAGAGUGUUUAUUUAUUUAAACUCUCCUAUUUUCAUUUCCAUUAACGAUAAGGGACUAUUUCCUUUUUCAAUAAAGCAUUAAAGGACUUUUCAAGUUCCCAACCUUUCAAGUUCUAAACUUGGGAAAAUACCCAAGUACCCCCUCAACCUAUGCCCGAAAUCCCAGAGACACACUUAUACUAUACUAAGGUCCUAUUACCCCUCUGAACUUAUUUUAUAUGUAAUUUUCUACCCCUUUUUAGCCUACGUGGCACUAGUUCGAAAAAAAAUAGUCAACCAUCGUUGGGCCCACAAGAUAGUGCCAUGUAAGCUAAAAAGGGGUAAAAAAUUAUUAAUAAAAUAUGUUUAGGGGGGUAAUAGGACCUUAGUAUAGUAUAAGUGUGUCUUUGAGAUUUCAGGCAUAGGUUAAGGGGGUACUUGGGCAUUAUCCCUCUAAACUUUUCAAAUUCCUCUCCUUUCCUCUAUUUCCCAUCAAUUCUUGCUACAUAUCCAACAAGCACUACUAUAGGCUCACCAUGAUCUACAAUAUUUUUUUGGCAUUAAGAAGUCAUUUAAAAUGAAUCUGGUGAGUUUUUUAGUCUUCCAUAUGUUGCACAUGAAGAUAUUGGUGAUAUGAUUUUCGAUCGAUUUAUUAGUGAAGUCCUUUUUGGGUAUGGUUAGGAGUCCUAUUUGGGGAUCAAGUUAUAUUUCCCCUAUAAAUAAAGAGAUUUUACUUCGUUGUAAAUUAGAUCUAUGAAUAUCUAAAUAUCAAUCAAGAGAAUAUGAAAUCUUCUUUCUUCUCCCUACUUUAUUCUUCUCAUUGUUUUAUAUAGUUUCAUAACAAAUUUUCUUUUUAGGCUCAAGUCAUCGCUAGCCCGUUAAAGUUGUCCGCAUAAUUUAUCUAGACACCUCAACCGAGAGUUGUACCUACUGCACACAUAUACUUUCUCGAAUUUGAACCAUCACAACAUUUUUUGCCUACAUAGCAUAUUAUUUCUUAAUGUUGUGUUUUGAGGUUAAAUUGAUGUAGAUUUGUCUCUUCUCAUCAAAAUGGAACGAAGAAAACAAUUAAAAUAUUAAUUUUUAUUACCUAUGGCCAAUUCUACCACAACUCGUAAAAAAUAACAAUAAAUUUCAUCCCUUUUCUUAAGUUCUCUGUUGUUGCUGAUGAACCAAGAAGGUUCAAAAAUAUCAUAAUUACAAAGAUGGGUUGUUGUGUUGGGGUGGGGCACUGUAAAACAGAAGAAGGAGAGGAGUUUUGGACUCCCAUGAAAUGACAGGGUAUUUACAAGAUUUAUUUUUUAAAAUAAUUUUCUUUUUCUUUUAUAAUAUAUUUUUUUUAAAAAAUUUGGACUCAAAAUACCAGAUGUCAGUAUUUAAUUCGUUAAAUUGUCAUAUUUUCACACACUUUGAAAUUUUAGUUUAUUGUAAAAAAUUGUUCAACUGGUUCAAAUUUGUAGGGGUAGAGGCGUUAAAUAGAUACAAGUCUUAGUUGAGAUGCCUAAGUGAAUUACACAAACAAAUUUAAGGAGUCGUCAAUGGCUUAAGUCUUUCUUUUAUCAUGUUCAAAUUUUAAAAUCAAAACAUGGGACACCAAUCGGCAAAUGACAAGGUUCCUCAAGAAUUUGAGUUCUAAUGAAAAACGGUGAUUGUGAGCUAAUUUUAGCUCUUCCUUUUUAAACAAUCUUCACUAAUUACUUCUAGAUGUCUGGGUAACAUUUUGAGUAAAGAUUUUUGAAUUCAAAAUCUCAUUUUCAGAAUUGAGAUUUUGAAAAGAUUUGACCCAUUUUUUCAGAAUGUAUGAUAAGUCUGGGGAACGGACCAAAAAGGGACCACCGAAACGGAACGGGAUGAGUUAAUCGGUUUGUUGAUCGUUAUUGGAAUGAACCGGAUCGGAAUUAUCGGGACGGAUACUGGUUCCAUCCCGUCCCACUAUAUACGGGGAUCAAACCGGAACGAAAAGGGACGACACAUCUAGUUAUUUCAAAAAAUAAUUUUUUUGAAUUACAAAAUUAUAAAAAAAAAAUUAUUUUAUAAGUUUAAUAGUUUUUUUAUAAUGUAAUUUUUUAUUUAAGUUUAUUUUAAAGAUAAUUUUUAAAAAAAAUUAUUUACUAAGUUUGCAAGUUAAGUCUAAUUAAGUUUUUAUAAUUGAUUAUUUACAUUGUAUUAUGUUUACCGUGAUGAGAGACAUUGAUAAUUAUGCGGAAGGGAAAAUGUUCAGGAAAGUAAAAUGAUAUAAAGCCGAAGAAAAAUAGUUCCGGCUAGUGAUAUGCAUGAUAGAAAGCCGAAUGAGAAUUAUUUCGGCUAGUGAUAUUGUGUCGAAGGAAAAUGGUCUCGACAAGUAACAUGAUAUAAAAUAAAACAAAAAUGAUUUCGACUAGUGAUAUUGUGAAGGGAAAUAGUUUCGGUAAGUGGUUCUAUAUAAAACCAAAAGAAAAUGGUUCCGGCCAAUUAUAUUGUAUCGAUGGAAAAUGACUAUGGGAAGUGUUUGAUUAUUAUGAUUCGAUGAACCUAAUACUUGUAUUUAAUUGAUCUACUUGAUACUUGUAAUUGAUCUACUUAAUGUUUGUUAUUGACAUACUUUAUACUUGUUGGUUGACGAACAAUGACUGUUAGCUAUGAUUGAUAAUGCUUGAGUACUGUGAAUUGUAAAACUGUAACAUCUCGCAAUUUGAAAUAGUUAGAAAGAAGCUAAGAACUUGAAAUAAUCAUUUUGAAAAUAAUGACAAAUCUGGAAAUUUGUUAAAUUAGGAAAAAUGAGUUUUUGGUCAGCUUCAAAUGGUGAUAACUCCUAGCUCAGAAUGAGUUAGGUGUAUUUCUAGAUAUGGUUACAAAGAUCUUGGAAUGAUUUUUCCAAUGCCGUCGAGUUUGUGCAAUUCUGAGUUCGUAUAAGUGAGAUAUGUCAUUUGAAAGUUAGGGGUUGGAAUAAAGAAAUGUCAAAUCCGAAGUUUUAAGGGGUAUUUUAGUCUUUUCAUUGUCCUAUUAUUUUAAUCCAUUUUUAGGAGUUUAAGAUGUCAAAUAAGAAGUUAUUUAGUUUUUUAGCAAUUUGAAAUUUACGCAGGCUUUGAGAAAGGAGAAAAAGGGAGAAACAAAAAGAAAGGGCAAGAUUCAUCAAUAUCGAUCAAUCGAGUUGUAUUUUCGCCAAGGAUUUAUUUUUAUGAGGUAUGUGAGGUUUUCAUAACGUUAGGAUCGUUCUCCCACGUGUCAAAAUAUUUACCACAAUAUGGAUUCGCCCUAAAUUCAAAAUCUCAUUUUCAGAAUUGAGAUUUUGAAAUGAUUUGACCAAUUUUUCAAAAUGUAUGCUAAGACUGGGGAACGGACCAAAACGGGACCACUGGAACCGAACGAGAUGAGUUAAUCGGUUCGUUGAUCGGUAUUGGAAUGAAUCGGAUUGGAAUUACCAGGACGGAUACUGGUUCCAUCGCGUCCCACUAUACACCGGGAUGAAAUCGGAACGGGACGACACAUCUAGUUAUUUCAAAAAAUAUUUUUUUUGAAUUACGAAAUUAUGAAUAUUUUUUUUAUUUUUCUAAGUUUAAUAGUUUUAUUUAUAAUGUAAUUUUUUAUUUAAGUUUAUUUUAAAGAUAUUUUAAAAAAAUUAUUUACUAAGUUUGCAAGUUAAGUCUAAUUAAGUUUUCAAGAUUUAAAUAUUUUGCAGUUUAUAAGUAAUUACUUAUUAUUUAUUAAUAUGUCAUAACUUAUAAUCUCUCUCUCUCUCUCUCUCUCUAUAUAUAUAUAUAUAUAUAUAUAUAUAUAUAUUGUAAUUUUAGAAAACUAAAUAAAAAUAAGGAUAAAACAAUUACACAAACUAAUUUAUAAAUAUAUAAUAUAAAUGAAUUAAUAAAUAUUAAUUAAUCGAAACCUGAAUAUACCGGGAUAAAUCGGUACUGAUACAUCGGUAUGAAAACUUCGGGUCCAUUUUGUUCUCUGUACCGGUGCAGGAUGUCUCGUUCCUUUUCGUAGGCGUCGUACCGGGAUCGGUAAAUCCCGUGCCGUUGCCCAGCCUUAAUAUAUGCUAUGAAAGUUGUUACUUUUUUUUAAUAUUACUGUGACUACUUGAUUGAAUUAGACUGUGUGGCUUUGAAUAUUGUUCGAUAAGAGAAGGUUCAAGUCUUGAAUUGACUGUUGGUUUAAUUGAGGCAAGUAAACUUCUAAACUUGAUCAUAGAACUUAUGGAAUCUUGUAUUUUAAUUAUGUCUAUUGGGGAGUAACGGUUUUGAGGUGAUUUAAUUGAUGGCAUUAUCAUGGACUUGAAUUGCUUGAGUUAUUGUUUCUUUCUUAUGGUGUGGAGUUGAUUAUUUACAUUGUAUUAUGUUUACCGUGAUGAGAGACAUUGAUGAUUACGCGGAAGGGAAAAUGUUCAGGAAAGUAAAAUGAUAUAAAGCCGAAGGAAAAUAGUUCCGGCUAGUGAUAUGCAUGAUAGAAAGCCGAAUGAGAAUUAUUUCGGCUAGUGAUAUUGUGUCGAAGGAAUAUGGUCCCGACAAGUAACAUGAUAUAAAAUAAAAGGAAAAUGAUUUCGACUAGUGAUAUUGUGAAGGGAAAUAGUUUCUGUAAGUGGUUCUAUAUAAAACCAAAAGAAAAUAGUUCCGGCCAAUUAUAUUGUAUCGAUGGAAAAUGACUAUGGGAAGUGUUUGAUUAUUAUGAUUCGAUGAACCUAAUACUUGUAUUUAAUUGAUGUACUUGAUACUUGUAAUUGAUCUGCUUAAUAUUUGUUAUUGACAUACUUUAUACUUGUUGGUUGACGAACAAUGAAUGUUAGCUAUGAUUGAUAAUGCUUGAGUACUGUGAAUUGUAAAACUGUAACAUCUCGCAAUUUGAAAUAGUUAGAAAGAAGCUAAGAACUUGAAAUAAUCAUUUUGAAAAUAAUGACAAAUCUGGAAAUUUGUUAAAUUAAGAAAAAUGAGUUUUUGGUCAGCUUCAAAUGGUGAUAACUCCUAGCUCAAAAUUAGUUAGGUGUAUUUCGAGAUAUGGUUUCAAAGAUCUUUGAACGAUCUUUCCAAUGCCGCCGAGUUUGCGCAUUUCUAAGUUCGUAUAAGUGAGAUAUGUCAUUUGAAAGUUGGGAAGUUGGAAAAAAGAAAUGUCAAAUCCAAAUUUUUAAGGGGUAUUUUAAUCUUUUCAUUGUCCUAUUAUUAUAAUCCAUUUUUAGGAGUUUAAGAUGGGUCAAAUCAGAAGUUAUUCAGGUUUUUUAGUAAUUUGAAAUUUACGCGGGCUUGGAGAAAGGAGAAAAGGGAGAAACAAGAAGAAAGGGCAAGAUUCAUAAAGAUCGAUCAAUCGAGUUGUGUUUUCGCCAUGGAUUUAUUUCUAUAAGGUAUUUGAGGUUUUCAUAACGUUAGGAUCGUUCUCCCAUGCGUCAAAAUAUUUAUCACAGUAUGGAUUCGCCCUAAAAGAAAUUGAUAGUUUAUGAUCUUGGUACCUAUUCUUGAUUUUGAUGUUGUUCUGGAAUUUGUUUGAUUUAAGAAGUUUCUGCAAUUGUUACGUCAUAUUAUAGAGUCGUUUCGAGUUAGGUUCUUAGGUGCAUUGUUGGGUAUUUGUAUCUAAAAAGGAUUUGAGAAAAAGGAUCGAGUUUGGGUGAACUGGGGCUGAAAAACGAAGAAGAAACUUCAUCGAACGAAAUUUUAACAUGGUGGCGCGUCGCGCAACAACUCUCUAGACUUGGGAAUUUCUUAUUCAUGACGCUGAGCUGGCACGAGGUGGUCUGCCUCAAAAUAUGUUUUCGAAACCAAAAUCUAAAUACCAACUCUCCGCAUCGCGGAUCCACCCUUAAAUCUUGAUAAUUCUAUUUUUUCCCUCAUGUUUAGCUAUCUAAAAUCAUUCCUAAACAUCAUGAGAUUUUUCCAAUGACAAAUCACCAUUCAUGAAUCCGUAAUUCAACUCAAAGAUUUGUUAAGAGUCAAAUUCAAGAGAAGUCAAGAGUCAAUUUAAGAUAAGUUCUUAAAGUUUUUUUUUUUCAAAAGUCUUUAUAAACGCUUUAACUUUGUUUUCAAACUUAAGUUUCAAGUUAAGCAAAGAGUAAGGAGUUGAGUUCAUUUCUCAAAAAUUUAUAAGGGAACUAAGUAUUCCCAAAGAGUUUAUAAAUAUUUUCAUGUUUUAGUAAGAAAACGAAACAUCGAUCCCUAGAUCUUUUAAGCUAAGUUUUGAGUAAUUAUCUCAAUCCAAAGAAAGAAGUUUCGUUUUUUAAAACAUAUGAGCUAAGUAUAUUAGAACACCAAUAUGGGGAUGCAAGUUCAUAUUAACUCAAGGCUCCAAAAACAAUGUAAUCAUCAUGGGUAUUAAAGGAUCAUUCUUUUUAGAUAACUUCUUAAGAUAAUUUUAGCACAGACUAGUGAAUCCACUUAGUGAGUUAGGUUUUAUACCCUCGGCAAGGUAUAUGAAGGCCCUUGGCAGCGUAAGGUAAAACAUUGUACCAUCACUUAAACUCAUAGUGGUGAGUUUCGGUUAGAGAUUGAUCUCCCAAAGAAACUAUAUUACUUUGUUAUAUAAGUAUGAGUUUGUUAUCGCACUUCCUUUAAUGAACUAAGAUAUUUUCCACUGUUUUUUACCAGUUUACAUAUAUUGCAUGUGUUUUAUCGCCUUAUAUUGAGUUUGUUAAUAAUGAGUUGAGAAGAUCCAAGGUAAGUGUUUCUUCCAUAUUCUUUUCAAGCCUAUGUAUUGUUAGAAUUUCAACUACAUACUUGUACAUUCAAUACUGAUGCCAGUGGUCUGCAUCAUCUUAUGAUGUAGAUACAGAUAACCAGGAUCAGCAUCCAGCGCCACGUUGAUCAGGUUCAACACUUAGAGUAAGUUGGUGUGUCUCCUUGCAUUGCGGAGGACCCUUCUUAUCAUUGCUUUUUAGUUUUCAGUUGUUAGGAUGAACUAGGGUCCUGUCCCGACAUCCCUCUUUAUUUUCGAGGCUUCAUAGACAAAUACUUAUGGUUCUUUAGUGUUAUUCAUCUCAGUUGUAUUCGUUUAAGACUUGAGUUGCCAUUUUGGCUAAGGUAUUAUUAAGUGUUGAAUGCCUUGAAUCAAUUCUGUCUGUUUGGCCCAAGCCUGUUAGGGCGUAGCUUAGCACUAUCUAUAGACGCUAUGGCAAACCCUAUUUUGUAUUCUGUUUUUGCCUCUCCAUAAUAAAACUGCUCCCUCUCUUCCCCGUGGACGUAGCCAAUUUAUUGGUGAACCACGUAAAUCUGUUGUCCUGUUUUUCGCGUUUAUAUUUUCUCGUAUUAUCUCAAAUUCCGCAUAACAAAUUGGUAUCAGAGCCUCUUGGUUAAUCGGUGUUUCUUUUGGAUAAUUCGAGAUGUCUGCUUUGAACAUGAAAAUUGACAAAUUCACAGGGAGGAACAGUUUCAGUUUAUGGCAGAUCAAGAUGCGGGCUUUGUUUAAACAGCAAGGCUUCUGGGCACCGUUGUCGAAAGACAAGAACGCUGUCGUUACUCCUGAGAUGGCGAUUCUGGAGGAAAAGGCGCACUCGACGAUCAUGUUGUGUCUCGCAGAUGACGUCAUCACGGAGGUCUCGGAUGAAGACUGCUGCUGGUCUGUGGUUGAAGCUGGAGAGUUUGUACAUGAAAAAAUCUCUAACCAACAAGCUGCUUCUAAAACAGCGUCUAUUCGAUUUACGAAUGGCUGAAGGUACACAACUCAGGGAACAUUUAGAGCAAUUGAAUACUUUGUUACUAGAAUUGCGUAAUAUCGAUGUGAAGAUCGAGGAUGAAGAUGCUGCCUGAUUCUGUUAGUAUCUCUCCCAAUGUCGUUUGAGAAUUUUGUUCAAUCGUUCAUUGUUGGGAAAGAUACUGUGUCACUGGAAGAAGUCAGAUCGGCCCUUCAUAGCAGGGAAUUACGGCAUAAGGCUAACGACACAAGUACAGACAUACAACCUUCCGGUCUGUUCACCAGCAGCGAAAAGGGAAGGAAAAAUGGCAGAAAGAAAAAGAAGCCGAUGUCGAAGGGUGCAAAGCCAGAUGAUGUUUGUAAUUACUGCAAGGAGAAGGGACACUGGAAAUUUGAUUGUCCAAAGAAGAAGAAGCAAUUGAAAAAACAAUCAGUUUCUACUGCUGUUGCGGAAGAAGACACCAAUUCUGAAGAAGACAUUGCCCUAGUCGCGGAUGAGCACACUCAUCAUUCAGAUGUGUGGAUUCUCGAUUCUGGGGCAUCCUAUCACAUUUGUCCUAGGAGAGAGUGGUUCACGACUUAUACGCAGGUAGAUGGAGGCAGCAUCUCGAUGGCCAACAGCUUUGUCUGCAAGGUGGUUGGGACAGGCUCGAUCAAGAUAAGGACACAUGAUGGUAGCUUCUGCACAUUGAACGAGGUCAGGCACGUUCCAUUGAUGAUGAAAAAUCUGAUAUCUCUCAGUCUUUUUGAUAGUAAGGGAUUUACCUGGUCGGGAAAAGAUGGAGUCUUGCAGGUCUGGAAGGGUUCAAAUUUGAUUCUGAAAGGUGUCAUGCGUGGUACUUAGUAUUUUCUACAAGGUUCCACGAUUACAGGUUCAGCCCAUGUUGCAUCGUCAGAAGUUCACCAGAAGGAUAUGACUAAGUUAUGGCACAUGAGACUUGGUCAUAUGGGUGAAAAAGGGAUGCAAAUUCUAUCAAAGGAGGAUCUUCUUGCUGGUCAUAAGGUUAAGAGCCUAGAGUUUUGUGAACAUUGUGUCUUUGGAAAACUACAUCGCAACAAGUUUCCAAAGGCCAUUCACAGAACAAAAGGCACACUUGAUUAUAUCCAUUCUGAUUGAUGGGGUCCAUGCCGUGUUGAGUCUUUGGGAGGCUGCUAUUCUUUGUGUCCAUUAUUGAUGACUACUCAAGGAUGACUUGGGUGUACACGAUGAAGCAUAAAAGUGAAGCUUUCCAGAAGUUCAAGGAGUGGAAAAUUUUGAUGGAAAAUCAAAUAGGGAAGAAGAUCAAGAGGUUGCGAACUGAUAAUUCUGCUGGUCUGAAUUUGAUCAAUUCUGUAAGGAUGAAGGUAUUGCUCGACAUCGUACAGUCAGAAAUACACCACAGCAGAACGGUGUAGCUGAGCAGAUGAAUCAAACACUUCUGUAGAGAGCAAGGUGCAUGCUCUCUAAUGCUGGGCUAGAUAGAAGAUUCUGGGCAGAAGCGGUUAGUACAAUUUGCGACUUGAUUAACCGCGGACCACACACAGGCAUACAGUGCAAGGCACCUAUGGAGAUGUGGUCAGGAAAAGCUGCUGAUUAUUCAAAUCUGAAAGCUUUUGGUUGUACGGCUUACUAUCAUGUCAGUGAAGGUAAGUUAGAACCAAGAGCUAAAAAGGGAGUAUUUGUGGGCUACGGAGAUGGAGUGAAAGGUUUCAGAAUCUGGUCUCCAGCAGAAAAGAGGGUUAUUAUGAGCAGGAACGUUGUCUUUGAUGAAAGUUCUCUGCUUAGAACCAUUGUGAAGCCUACAACUACGUCGGAAACUGGGAGUCUUAAUAAACAGGUGGAGUUUCAAGUCAUUCAGAACGAGAGCGAUUUGAAAGAACCUGAAAAGGAGGAUCAAGAGCCACAGACAGAAACUGAUAUUCCAGAAUCUAUGUCAUCAGAUAUCCAUCAGAGUAUAGCUCAAGAUCGGCCAAGGAGGGUUGGAGUUCGGCCACCUACGAGGUAUGGUUUUGAGGACAUGGUGGGUUAUGCACUGCAGGUUGCUGAAGAAGUAGAUACAUCUGAGCCGUCUACUUACAAAGAAGCCAUUUUUAAGUCCUGAUUCUGAAAAAUGGUUUGCUGCUAUGGGAGAUGAGAUGGAGUCCCUACACAAGAAUCAGACAUGGAAUCUGGUCAUACAGCCUUCGGGGAGAAAGAUUAUUACUUGCAAAUGGGUUUUCAAGAAGAAGGAAGGGAUAUCACCAGCAGAAGGAGUCAAGUAUAAAGCCAGGGUUGUUGCCAGAGGUUUCAACCAAAGAGAGGGAGUGGACUACAAUGAGAUCUUCUCACCAGUGGUCAGACAUACUUCCAUCCGAUUGUUACUAGCGAUAGUUACACAUCAGAAUCUGGAGCUUGAACAACUUGAUGUGAAGACAGCAUUUCUACAUGGAGAGUCGGAGGAAGAGAUAUACAUGACUCAGUCGGAUGGUUUCCAAGUUCCAGGGAAGGAAAAUCACGUCUGCAAGUUGAAGAAGUCCUUAUAUGGACUUAAGCAGUCUCCAAGGCAGUGGUACAAAAGGUUUGACAGCUAUAUGGUGAAGUUGGGCUAUACUCGGAGCUCAUAUGAUUGUUGUGUCUACUACAAUAGGCUCAAGGAUGAUUCAUUCAUCUAUCUGGUGCUUUAUGUAGAUGAUAUGUUGAUAGCUGCAAAGAAGAAGUAUGACAUUCAAAAGCUGAAGGGUUUACUUAGUGCUGAGUUUGAGAUGAAGGAUCUGGGAGCCGCUCGGAAGAUUCUAGGGAUGGAGAUCAUUAGAGACAGAGAGAGAAGGAAACUUUUCUUGUCACAGAGAAGUUACAUUCAGAAGGUCUUGGCGAGGUUUGGCAUGUCUUCAUCUAAGCCUAUUGAUACCCCCAGUGCUGUCAAUAUCCAUCUCACUGCCAUGUUCGCUCCACAGUCAGAAGAAGAGAAAGAGUAUAUGUCACGAGUCCCUUAUGCCAGUGCCGUAGGAAGUUUGAUGUAUGCUAUGGUCUGUACAAGGCCAGAUUUAGCACAUGCAGUCAGUGUAGUGAGCAGAUUCAUGGGACAACCAGGGAGAGAACAUUGACAGGCUGUGAAGAGAAUUUUCCGGUACCUUAGAGGUACAUCUAACGUUGGUCUCAUUUAUGGAGGUGAUACUCAGUGCUUGGUUACUGGCUAUUCUGAUUCUGACUAUGCUGGAGAUGUUGACACAAGAAGAUCGAUGGCUGGCUAUGUGUUUACCCUUGGAGGAUCUGUCAUCAGUUGGAAGGCAACUUUGCAACCUACAGUGACUUUGUCUACUACGGAAGCGGAGUACAUGGCCUUGACAGAGGCUGCAAAAGAAGGGAUUUGGCUGAAAGGGCUGGUUAGUGAUCUUGGUCUGCAUCAUGAUCAGGCUACGGUGUAUUGUGACAGUUUGAGCACAAUUUGUCUAGCAAAGGAUCAAGUCCAUCAUGAGAGAACCAAGCAUAUUGACGUAAGGUAUCAUUUUUUGAGAAGUGAGAAGAGAAUCAAGGUGAAGAAAGUAGGCACUGCUGAUAAUUUGUCACCUUCUUUUUAUGUGAUUUUCAAUGUGAUUUUUUGUGUGUGAAAUUUUAACGGCUAAACCGACAACAGAAUCGACAACAAUCAAUAACUAAUAAAUUCAUAUUUUAAUGGUUCUAAAAUGGUUUAGUUUUAGACAAUGGUGAACCCAUAAUUUGAAGUACUUGUGUGCACUAAUAUAAACAUAGCUCAAAUAUGAGGGCUAAGAUAAACUUAAAAUAAAAACAAUAAAAAACAAGCUUGAGUAGGAUUUGAACCCUAAUUAAGAGGGUGGUAUCUCUAGCUUCAACCAAUUGCAUAAGGACACUUCUAUGUUUUUUAUGGGUACACUGUUAAGUUUAUCCUAAUUUCUAUCAAUUUUUCAAAAUAGAUAUACCUAUAUACGUAUAAUUUUUUUGGAAUUUAGCGGGUGCACGUGCACCCUCUCCAUAUAGUGUGGGUGCGCCCCUGGUUUUAGACUCUUAGUUUGAUGUUUCAAAUGGCUCGGGCUUGGCGAGGGAUUUACGUUAUAAUGACAUCCUAAAUGAAAUUUUUUUUCCUACGUGUAUUUUGUCAUGUAGGACUCAUAUGUCUACUUUUUCAAACUUAUACAAGUUUAAGUGACUACUUGUGCAUACACAAAGUUAAAGGGCACAAUUGUAAAAUGAGGUCAAGUUAAAAGGCGGAUAUAUGUAUUACGCCCCAAUAAAAUGGUCUUCUUGGAAUUACUUUAAAAUAUGAAAAUAUUUUUGAAAACACCAUGAUCCAUGAUUUUAUUUUGAUACUUAGUAGUCAUUUAAGUAAAAUUAGGCAUUUUACCCAAAUUAAGCGAUUUUUCUAAUUUUUUGUUGAUAUUAUUGCUUCACUUGAUUCUUUUGAAAAAUCUUUACGGUACCCUUUGUAAUGAGUUGGGGAGCAGUGUUGCCAAUCUGUGUUAAGAAAAACAAAAAUUACUUGUUGUAAUAAAUCAUUUAGAAACACGAAGUAACUGAGAUUUUUAGAACCAGUAAAUAAGAUGAACAGAAAUUUAUUUGUAAAAAAUAAUUUAAUCUGUAAAACUUACCAGAAUCUGGAAUACUCUUUUGAAAAAAUUCAGGAAGAAAAUCAAGUCCACUGACUUCACAGUGUCCCCUUAAGGAAAUUAUUCCCCUCUAGUAUCCGAGGUUUGAUUUGGAAUAUAACCUCCCAGGGUAAAAUGAUCUUAAUCAGUAGAGUAUAGAUACCAAAAACUCUACUGUCAGCGAAUCAAUCCACAGCAGGAAAGUACACGAAGAAAUAUAUGUGUUUUUAAGAAGAAGGAAGAUCAGAAAAAAUGUUAGAAAUAUUCUGAAGACUGAAUGGUAUUUAUAGGCAAGAAUAAUAUAUUCUGAAAGGUUGCUACCCUUUCAGAAUUGACACGACCAUUAAUGGAAGGUUGCAAACUUUCAAAUGGUAUUGACUGUUCCUGAAAGUUGCAACCUUUCAGAACAGUCAUGGCGGGAAAUUUUGAAUAUAACGGAAUUUAAAACGGGUCACUCGCGCGGAUCCGAGUCGGGUCGGGUUAAUUAAAGAGUUGAAAACAUUUCGGUUAAAUUUUGUUAUCAACUAAUUUAUUGAAAAUAAUUUUUGGCAAAUUAAUUAAUAAAUAAUUAAAAUAAAUUUUGUCCAAAAAAUUAUCUCUCGAUCGAUCAUUUUCAAAAGCCAAAUCCAAAGCCGAAGCGAGCGAGCGACGACGACGACGGCGCGAGGGGGGUCCCUCUUUCCAACCCUUUUAACAAUUAAUAGGAGUGUUUAUUUAUUUAAACUCUCCUAUUUUCAUUUCCAUUAUCGAUGAGGGACUAUUGUCUUUUUCAAUAAAGCAUUAGAGGACUUUUCAAGUUCCCAACCUUUCAAGUUCUAAACUUUUCAAAUUCCUCUCCUUCCCUCUAUUUCCCAUCAAUUCUUGCUACAUACCCAACAAUCCCCCCACAUUGAUGGGGAAUAGUUAUAACAUAGGAAUGCACGGACAAUUGUGUACUUUACAAGCAAGGAUUAAUUGCAUCUGGAUAAGUAGGUUUCCCCUUGGACUUUUCGUAGUGAACAUAUGUCGGAUAUACUCGGUCACUUCGGUAGAUGUGAUAUCUUUGAACCGUCGAACAUUGGUGUAUACCUAGACAACCAUAUGUCACACAAUUAACCCUUUACUGUUUAUGAUUCUUACGGUUGUGUUCGUUUCAGCCAUGAACACCUCCUGGUUUCAUGAGUGUAUAGAGAAUAGGCUUUUGACAUAAAAUUCUCUUUGAAGCGGCUUCCACUUCACACUCACAUAGGUGAUUUCUAACCGUGUCAUCUCGUAGAUACACUAUUUUAUCAAAUCUACCAAACUUAGCAAAUCAUUAAAACUUUAAGCUUUAUUACCUCAUUAACAAGCCUUAAAGUCUUAACAUUUUCCUGAACAUUGUCUUCAUCAUGAGAAUGGAUUGAGUUAAUUGACAAUGUCGAACCGUCAGCCACAACUUUGUUUUUAUCCUUGAAUCUAGCUCUUGGGAUCUCCAUUCUGCUAGAUAGAGUUACCGUCAUGCUGACUUGUCCUAAGCCGUAAACCCAUUCCCUUAGAUGAUCUUUCAACUGCCUCUCUCACUAGGCCUUUCGUUAGUGAAUCUGACACAUUAUCGUUUGACUUUACAUAGUCAAUUGUGAUAAUUCCACUAUAGAGCAGUUGUCUUAUGGUGUUAUGUCUACGUCGUAUAUGACGAGACUUCCCGUUGUACAUAACGCUCCCUGCCCUACCUAUUGCUGCUUGACUAUCGCAGUGUAUGUAAAUUGGUCCAACAGGUUUGGGCCAGAAUGGAAUAUCCUCUUUCGGAGCCAUUCCGCUUCUUCACCAGCCUUAUCCAAAGCAAUGAAUUCAGAUUCCAUUGUGGAGCUGGUCGAGAGAGUACGAUACUUCGGUGUAAAAGAUUUUCUUUUUUCUGUGAGCUUGGUUUACUUGACCGAAGGGUGCAGUAGAACUCCUAAGUCUUUCAUAUCAAACUUGCUGGACAACAUGUGCUUAGUAGCAUUUAUAUCGUCAAUUUCUUUACUCAUUAUUAACAUGUCAUCAACAUACAAACAAAUAAUGACUUCAUGAUUCGUAACGUUUUUAAUGUAAACACAUUUAUCACAUUCGUUAAUCUUGAAUCCAUUUGCCAACAUUAUUUGAUCAAAUUUAGCAUGCCAUUGUUUGGGUGCUUGUUUGAGUCCAUAAAGUGACUUCACAAGUCUGCACGCUUUCUUUUUUUUACCAGGAACUAUACACCCUUCAGGCUGUUCCAUGUAAAUUUCUUCCUCUAACUCUCCAUUUAAGAAGACUGUCUUUACAUCCAUUUGGUGGAUUUUAAGAUUAUGCACUGCGGCUAGUGCUAUUAACAUCCUAAUUGAUGUUAUCCUUGAUACUGGAGAGUAUGUGUCAAAGUAGUCCAGACCUUCCUUUUGUCUAUACCCUUUGACUAUCAGUCUAGCCUUAUAUUUGUCAAUAGUCCCAUCAGGUCUCAUUUUCCUUUUAAAGAUCCAUUUUGAUCCUAAAGGUUUAUUUCCUGGAGGAAGAUCAGUCAAUUCCCAAGUGUGAUUGCUUAAAAUUGAUUCAAUCUCACUAUUGACUGCUUCUUUCCAAUAAGUUGACUCUGACGAAGACAUAGCUGCUUUAAAUGUUUGAGGCUCAUUUUCAAGCAAUAGUGCUACAAAAUCUGGUCCGAAAGAAACAGAUUUUCGUUGUCGAGUACUUCGCCUAGGUUCCUCACUAGUUAGAAUAUUUUCCAUUGAUUCUUCUCGUGGUCGUUUAGGUCUUUCACUUGUUGACUCACUUUCAAUUAUAUACGGAUAAAUAUUUUCAAAAAAACUCUACAUUAUCUAAUUCAAUUAUCGUAUUAACAUGAAUCUCAGGAUUAUCAGAUUUGUGAACCAAAAAUCGACAGGUUUUACUAUUCACAGCGUACCCAAUAAAGGCACAAUCUAUUGUUUUGGGUCCAAUUUUAACCCUCUUAGGUAAAGAAACCUCUACCUUGGCUAAACACCCCUACACUUUGAAAUAUUUCAAGUUGGGUUUUCUUCCUUUCCACAACUCAUAUGGAAUUGAUUGUGUUUUUCGAUGGGGUACUCUAUUGAGUAUUUUAUUAGUUGUAAGGAUGGCUUCCCCCCAAAGAUUUCGCGGUGAACCAGAAUUGAUCAUUAAGGCAUUCAUCAUUUCCUUUAAUGUUCUAUUCUUCCGUUCUGCCAAACCAUUUGACUGUGGUGUAUAAGGUGCAGUAGUUUAAUGAAUAAUACCAUAUUCCAAACAUAUCUCUGCAAAAGGAGAUUCAUAUUCUCCACCCCUAUCACUCCGAAUCAUUUUUAUCUUUAGAUUCAAUUGGUUUUCCACUUCAUUUUUGCAUUGCUUAAAUGCAUCAAUUGCUUCAUCUUUACUAUUAAGCAAAUAUACAUAACAAAAUUGAGUACAGUCAUCAAUAAAAGUUAUAAAGUACUUUUUCCCACCACGAGAUGGUGUUGACUUCAUAUCGCAUAUAUCUGUGUGAAUUAAGUCUAAAGUUUUAGAAUUUCUUUCAACAGACUUGUAAGGAUGUUUAACAAACUUACUUUCCACAGAAAUUUCACAUUUCGACUAUCGCAUUUAAAAUCAGGCAAUACUUCUAGAUUAACCAAUUUUCGCAAGGCUUUGUAAUUUACAUGUCCCAAACGGGCAUGCCAUAAAUCACUUAACUACAAUAAGUAAACAGAAGCAGAAUUUUUAUUAAUACUGUCAAUAACCAUUACAUUUAGUUUGAAAAGACCCUCAUUGAGGUAGCCCUUUCCUAUGAACAUUUCAUUCUUACUUAUUACAGCUUUAUCACUAACUAGGACACACUUAAACCCGUUCUUAACGAGUAGUGCAGCAGAAACUAAAUUCUUCCUAAUAGUAGGGACAUGCAGAACAUUGUUUAAAGUCAACACUUUGCCGUAUGUCAUAUUCAGCAUUACUUUUCCAGUUCCUGUAAUCCUUGCUGUUGCUGUGUUUUCCAUGAAUAAAUCUUCAUCGUACUCAGCAGGAGUGUACGUUGCAAAGGCUUCUUUUGCAGAGCAAAUAUGUCUAGUAGCACCUGAGUCGAGAAACCACUCUUUGGGAUUUCCAACUAAGUUACACUCUGAUAUCAUUGCACACAAGUCAUUUGUAUCUUCCAUCUUUUCCACUAUUUUUGCUUGACUUUUGCCUUUGCCUUUGUUUUUGUCCUUUCUUGGAGCAUGACAAUCAGAAGAUCUAUGACCAGCCUUGCCACAAUUAUAACAGUUGCCUUUGAAUUUCUUCUUGGCCUGUUCUGACUUCUGCCCAUUGGACUUCUUUCUCUUUUUGUCUUUGGUUGGAGCUUCUUCAACAAUAUUAACUCCAAUGAUUGUUGAACUCUUACGCGACUUCUUUUCGGCAUUUCUGUUGUCUUCCUCAAUGUUGAGACGAAUCACAAGAUCUUCAAGCUUCAUUUCUUUAUGCUUGUGCUUUAGAUAAUUCUUGAAAUCAUUCCACGAAGGAGGCAACUUCUCGAUCAUUGCAGCCACUUGAAAAACUUCAUUUACUACCAUAUCUUCAGCAAUCAGAUCGUGGAGAAUAAGUUGAAGUUCCUGCACUUGUGAUCCAACAGUUUUACUAUCUACCAUUUUAUAGUCUAAAAACUUUGCGACCACAAAUUUUUUCAAGCAUGCAUCUUCUGUCUUAUAUUUCUUCUCAAGUGAAUUUCACAACUCUUUUGAAGUUGUUAUUGCACUAUAGACAUUAUAUAAGUCAUCCUCUAAAGCACUCAAAAUGUAACCUUUACAUAGGAAGUCUGAUUGUUUCCAUGCUUCAACAAUCAUAAAUUUUUCCCUGUCUGGCAUAUCAUCAGCAGGUACUGGAGUAUCUUCACUUGUAAAUUUCUGCAGACCAAGAGUGGUAAGCCAGAAAAAUACUCGUUGCUGCCAUCCUUUGAAAUUCCCACCUGUGAAUUUAUCCGGUUUCUCUGCUUGUGAUACAAGAGUUCGGGUUGGUGCAGCAACAACCACUGUAACACCAGUGUUUUCCAUUUCUAAUAAACAAAAUUGAUACAAUAUAAGUAAGCAAUAAAUUAUAAUUGCAGACUUAAAGGAGUAUAAAAUCACAAAGAUUUUUGUCUCCACCAGAAACACAGAUUUAUAUCUAAUUUCCUUAAGAUUGUUGCCAAUCUGUGUUAAGAAAAAUAGAAAUUACUGGUUGUAAUAAAUCAUUCAGAAACACGAAGUAACUGAGAUUUUUAAAACCAGUAAAUAAGAUGAACAGAAAUUUAUUUGUAAAAAAUAAUUUAAUCUGUAAAACUUACCAGAAUCUGGAAUACUCUUUUGAAAAAAUUCAGGAAGAAAAUCAAGUACACUGAAUUCACAAUGUCCCCUUAAGGAAAUUAUUCCCCUCUAGUAUCCGCGGUUUGAUUUGGAAUAUAACCUCCCAGGGUAAAAUGAUCUUAAUCAGUAGAGUAUAGAUACCAAAACCUCUACUGUCAGCGAAUCAAUCCACAUCAGGAAAGUACACGAAGAAAUAUAUAUGUUUUUAAGAAGAAGGAAGAUUAGAAAAAAUGUGAGAAAUAUUCUGAAGACUGAAUGGUAUUUAUAGGCAAGAAUAAUAUAUUCUGAAAGGUUGCUACCCUUUCAGAAUUGACACGACCAUUAAUGAAAGGUUGCAAACUUUCAAAUGGUAUUGACUGUUCCUGAAAGUUGCAACCUUUCAGAACAGUCAUGGCGGGAAAUUUUGAAUAUAACAGAAUUUAAAACAGGUCACUCGCGCGGAUCCGAGUCGGGUCGGGUUAAAUUCUGUUAUCAACUAAUUUAUUGAAAAUAAUUUUUGGCCAUUUAAAUUAAUUAAUAAAUAAUUAAAAUAAAUUUUGUCCAAAAAAUUAUCUCUCGAUCAUUUGCCAAAGCCAAAGCCAAAGCCGAAGCCGAAGCGAGCGAGCGACGAUGACGACGGCGCGAGGGGAUCCCUCUUUCCAACCCUUUUAACAAUUAAUAGGAGUGUUUAUUUAUUUAAACUCUCCUAUUUUCAUUUCCAUUAACGAUAAGGGACUAUUUCCUUUUUCAAUAAAGCAUUAAAGGACUUUUCAAGUUCCCAACCUUUCAAGUUCUAAACUUGGGAAAAUACCCAAGUACCCCCUCAACCUAUGCCCGAAAUCCCAGAGACACACUUAUACUAUACUAAGGUCCUAUUACCCCUCUGAACUUAUUUUAUAUGUAAUUUUCUACCCCUUUUUAGCCUACGUGGCACUAGUUCGAAAAAAAAUAGUCAACCAUCGUUGGCCCACAAGAUAGUGCCAUGUAAGCUAAAAAGGGGUAAAAAAUUAUUAAUAAAAUAUGUUCAGGGGGUAAUAGGACCUUAGUAUAGUAUAAGUGUGUCUCUGAGAUUUCAGGCAUAGGUUAAGGGGGUACUUGGGCAUUAUCCCUCUAAACUUUUCAAAUUCCUCUCCUUUCCUCUAUUUCCCAUCAAUUCUUGCUACAUAUCCAACAAGCACUACUAUAGGCUCACCAUGAUCUACAAUAUUUUUUUGGCAUUAAGAAGUCAUUUAAAAUGAAUCUGGUGAGUUUUUUAGUCUUCCAUAUGUUGCACAUGAAGAUAUUGGUGAUAUGAUUUUCGAUCGAUUUAUUAGUGAAGUCCUUUUUGGGUAUGGUUAGGAGUCCUAUUUGGGGAUCAAGUUAUAUUUCCCCUAUAAAUAAAGAGAUUUUACUUCGUUGUAAAUUAGAUCUAUGAAUAUCUAAAUAUCAAUAAAGAGAUUUUAAACAAUCUUCACUAAUUAUUUCUAGAUGUCUGGGUAACAUUUUGAGUAAAGAUUUUUGAAUUCAAAAUCUCAUUUUCAGAAUUGAGAUUUUGAAAAGAUUUGACCCAUUUUUUCAGAAUGUAUGAUAAGUCUAGGAACGGACCAAAAAGGGACCACCGAAACGGAACGGGAUGAGUUAAUCGGUUUGUUGAUCGGUAUUGGAAUGAACCAGAUCGGAAUUAUCGGGACGGAUACUGGUUCCAUCCCGUCCCACUAUAUACGGGGAUCAAACCGGAACGGAAAGGGACGACACAUCUAGUUAUUUCAAAAAAAAAUUGAAUUACAAAAUUAUAAAUAUUUUUUUAUUUUAUAAGUUUAAUAGUUUUUUUAUAAUGUAAUUUUUUAUUUAAGUUUAUUUUAAAGAUAAUUUUUUAAAAAAAAUUAUUUACUAAUUUUGCAAGUUAAGUCUAAUUAAGUUUUUAUAAUUGAUUAUUUACAUUGUAUUAUGUUUACCGUGAUGAGAGACAUUGAUAAUUAUGCGGAAGGGAAAAUGUUCAGGAAAGUAAAAUGAUAUAAAGCCGAAGGAAAAUAGUUCCAGCUAGUGAUAUGCAUGAUAGAAAGCCGAAUGAGAAUUAUUUCGGCUAGUGAUAUUGUGUCGAAGGAAAAUGAUCCCGACAAGUAACAUGAUAUAAAAUAAAACGAAAAAUGAUUUCGACUAGUGAUAUUGUGAAGGGAAAUAGUUUCGGUAAGUGGUUCUAUAUAAAACCAAAAGAAAAUGGUUCCGGCCAAUUAUGGGAAGUGUUUGAUUAUUAUGAUUCGAUGAACCUAAUACUUAUAUUUAAUUGAUGUACUUGAUACUUGUAAUUGAUCUGCUUAAUAUUUGUUAUUGACAUACUUUAUACUUGUUGGUUGACGAACAAUGAAUGUUAGCUAUGAUUGAUAAUGCUUGAGUACUGUGAAUUGUAAAACUGUAACAUCUCGCAAUUUGAAAUAGUUAGAAAGAAGCUAAGAACUUUAAAUAAUCAUUUUGAAAAUAAUGACAAAUCUGGAAAUUUGUUAAAUUAAGAAAAAUGAGUUUUUGGUCAGCUUCAAAUGGUGAUAACUCCUAGCUCAAAAUUAGUUAGGUGUAUUUCGAGAUAUGGUUUCAAAGAUCUUUGAACGAUCUUUCCAAUGCCGCCGAGUUUGCGCAAUUCUGAGUUCGUAUAAGUGAGAUAUGUCAUUUGAAAGUUGGGGAGUUGGAAAAAAGAAAUGUCAAAUCCAAAUUUUUAAGGGGUAUUUUAAUCUUUUCAUUGUCCUAUUAUUAUAAUCCAUUUUUAGGAGUUUAAGAUGGGUCAAAUCAGAAGUUAUUCAGGUUUUUUAGUAAUUUGAAAUUUACGCGGGCUUGGAGAAAGGAGAAAAGGGAGAAACAAGAAGAAAGGGCAAGAUUCAUAAAGAUCGAUCAAUCGAGUUGUGUUUUCGCCAAGGAUUUAUUUCUAUGAGGUAUGUGAGGUUUUCAUAGCGUUAGGAUCGUUCUCCCAUGCGUCAAAAUAUUUAUCGCAGUAUGGAUUCGCCCUAAAAGAAAUUGAUAGUUUAUGAUCUUGGUACCUAUUCUUGAUUUUGAUGUUGUUCUGGAAUUUGUUUGAUUUAAGAAGUUUCUGCAAUUGUUACGUCAUAUUAUAGAGUCGUUUCGAGUUAGGUUCUUAGGUGCAUUGUUGGGUGUUUGUAUCUAAAAAGGAUUUGAGAAAAAGGAUCGAGUUUGGGUGAACUGGGGCUGAAAAACGAAGAAGAAACUUCAUCGAACGAAAUUUUAACAUGGUGGCGCGUCGCGCAACAACUCUCUAGACUUGGGAAUUUCUUAUUCAUGACGCUGAGCUGGCACGAGGUGGUCUGCCUCAAAAUAUGUUUUCGAAACCAAAAUCUAAAUACCAACUCUCCGCAUCGCGGAUCCACCCUUAAAUCUUGAUAAUUCUAUUUUUUCCCUCAUGUUUAGCUAUCUAAAAUCAUUCCUAAACAUCAUGAGAUUUUUCCAAUGACAAAUCACCAUUCAUGAAUCCGUAAUUCAACUCAAAGAUUUGUUAAGAGUCAAAUUCAAGAGAAGUCAAGAGUCAAUUUAAGAUAAGUUCUUAAAGUUUUUUUUUUCAAAAGUCUUUAUAAACGCUUUAACUUUGUUUUCAAACUUAAGUUUCAAGUUAAGCAAAGAGUAAGGAGUUGAGUUCAUUUCUCAAAAAUUUAUAAGGGAACUAAGUAUUCCCAAAGAGUUUAUAAAUAUUUUCAUGUUUUAGUAAGAAAACGAAACAUCGAUCCCUAGAUCUUUUAAGCUAAGUUUUGAGUAAUUAUCUCAAUCCAAAGAAAGAAGUUUCGUUUUUUAAAACAUAUGAGCUAAGCAUAUUAGAACACCAAUAUGGGGAUGCAAGUUCAUAUUAACUCAAGGCUCCAAAAACAAUGUAAUCAUCAUGGGUAUUAAAGGAUCAUUCUUUUUAGAUAACUUCUUAAGAUAAUUUUAGCACAGACUAGUGAAUCCACUUAGUGAGUUAGGUUUUAUACCCUCGGCAAGGUAUAUGAAGGCCCUUGGCAGCGUAAGGUAAAACGUUGUACCAUCACUUAAACUCAUAGUGGUGAGUUUCGGUUAGAGAUUGAUCUCCCAAAGAAACUAUAUUACUUUGUUAUAUAAGUAUGAGUUUGUUAUCGCACUUCCUUUUUAAUGAACUAAGAUAUUUUCCACUGUUUUUUACCAGUUUACAUAUAUUGCAUGUGUUUUAUCGCCUUAUAUUGAGUUUGUUAAUAAUGAGUUGAGAAGAUCCAAGGUAAGUGUUUCUUCCAUAUUCUUUUCAAGCCUAUGUAUUGUUAGAAUUUCAACUACAUACUUGUACAUUCAAUACUGAUGCCAGUGGUCUGCAUCAUCUUAUAAUGUAGAUACAGAUAACCAGGAUCAGCAUCCAGCGCCACGUUGAUCAGGUUCAACACUUAGAGUAAGUUGGUGAGUCUCCUUGCAUUGCGGAGGACCCUUCUUAUCAUUGCUUUUUAGUUUUCAGUUGUUAGGAUGAACUAGGGUCCUGUCCCGACAUCCCUCUUUAUUUUCGAGGCUUCAUAGACAAAUACUUAUGGUUCUUUAGUGUUAUUCAUCUCAGUUGUAUUCGUUUAAGACUUGAGUUGCCAUUUUGGCUAAGGUAUUAUUAAGUGUUGAAUGCCUUGAAUCAAUUCUGUAUGUUUGGCCCAAGCCUGUUAGGGCGUAGCUUAGCACUAUAUAUAGACGCUAUGGCAAACCCUAUUUUGUAUUCUGUUUUUGCCUCUCCAUAAUAAAACUGCUCCCUCUCUUCCCCAUGGACGUAGACAAUUUAUUGGUGAACCACGUAAAUCUGUUGUCUUGUUUUUCGUGUUUAUAUUUUUUCAUAUUAUCUCAAAUUCCGCAUAACAAAUUGGUAUCAGAGCCUCUUGGUUAAUCGGUGUUUCUUUUGGAUAAUUCGAGAUGUCUGCUUUGAACAUGAAAAUCGACAAAUUCACAGGGAGGAACAGUUUCAGUUUAUGGCAGAUCAAGAUGCGGGCUUUGUUUAAACACCAAGGCUUCUAGGCACCGUUAUCGAAAGACAAGAACGCCGUCGUUACUCCUGAGAUGGCGAUUCUGGAGGAAAAGGCGCACUCGACGAUCAUGCUGUGUCUCACGAAUGACGUCAUCACGGAGGUCUCGGAUGAAGAGACUGCUGCUGGUCUGUGGUUGAAGCUGGAGAGUUUGUACAUGACAAAAUCUCUAACCAACAAGCUGCUUCUAAAAUAGCGUCUAUUCGGUUUAUGAAUGGCUGAAGGUACACAACUCAGGGAACAUUUAGAGCAAUUGAAUACUUUGUUACUAGAAUUGCGUAAUAUCGAUGUGAAGAUCGAGGAUGAAGAUGCUGCCCUGAUUCUGUUAGUAUCUCUCCUAAUGUCGUUUGAGAAUUUUGUUCAAUCGUUCAUUGUUGGGAAAGAUACUGUGUCGCUGGAAGAAGUCAGAUCGGCCCUUCAUAGCAGGGAAUUACGGCAUAAGGCUAACGGCACAAGUACAGACAUAUAACCUUCCGGUCUGUUCACCAGUAGCGAAAAGGGAAGGAAAAAUGGCAGAAAGAAAAGAAGCCGAUGUCGAAGGGUGCAAAGCUGGAUGAUGUUUGUAAUUACUGCAAGGAGAAGGGACACUGGAAAUUUGAUUGUCCAAAGAAGAAGAAGCAAUCGAAAAAACAAUUAGUUUCUGCUGCUGUUGCUGAAGAAGACACCAAUUCUGAAGAAGACAUUGCCCUAGUCGCGGAUAAGCACACUCAUCAUUCAGAUGUGUGGGUUCUCGAUUCUGGGGCAUCCUAUCACAUUUGUCCUAGGAGAGAGUGGUUCACGACUUAUACGCAGGUAGACGGAGGCAGCAUCUCGAUGGCCAACAGCUCUGUCUGCAAGGUGGUUGGGACAGGCUCGAUCAAGAUAAGGACACAUGACGGUAGCUUCUGCACAUUGAACGAGGUCAGGCACGUUCCAUUGAUGACAAAAAAUUUGAUAUCUCUCAGUCUUUUGGAUAGUAAGGGAUUUACCUGGUCGGGAAAAGAUGGAGUCUUGCGAGUCUAGAAAGGUUCAAAUCUGAUUUUGAAAGGCGUCAUGCGUGGUACUUUGUAUUUUCUACAAGGUUUCACGGUUACAGGUUCAGCCCAUGUUGCAUCGUCAGAAUAUCACCAGAAGGAUAUGACUAAGUUAUGGCACAUGAGACUUGGUCAUAUGGGUGAAAAGGGGAUGCAAAUUCUAUCAAAGGAGGAUCUUCUUGCUGGUCAUAAGGUUAAGAGCCUAGAGUUUUGUGAACAUUGUGUCUUUGGAAAACUACAUCGCAACAAGUUUCCAAAGGCCAUUCACAGAACAAAAGGCACACUUGAUUAUAUCCAUUCUGAUUGAUGGGGUCCAUGCCGUGUUGAGUCUUUGGGAGGCUGCAGAUUCUUUGUGUCCAUUAUUGAUGACUACUCAAGGAUGACUUGGGUGUACAUGAUGAAGCAUAAAAGUGAAGCUUUCCAGAAGUUCAAGGAGUGGAAAAUUUUGAUGGAAAAUCAAACAUGGAAGAAUAUCAAGAGGUUGCGAACUGAUAAUGGCUGGAAUUCUGCUGGUCUGAAUUUGAUCAAUUCUGUAAGGAUGAAGAGAUUGCUCGACAUCGUACAGUCAGAAAUACACCACAGCAGAACGGUGUAGCUGAGCGGAUGAAUAAAACACUUCUGGAGAAAGAUUAUUACUUGCAAAUGGGUUUUCAAGAAGAAGGAAGGGAUAUCACAAGCAGAAGAAGUCAAGUAUAAAGCCAGGGUUGUUGCCAGAGGUUUCAACCAAAGAGAGGGAGUGGACUACAAUGAGAUCUUCUCACCAGUGGUCAGACAUACUUCCAUCCGAUUGUUACUAGCGAUAGUUACACAUCAGAAUCUGGAGCUUGAACAACUUGAUGUGAAGACAGCGUUUCUACAUGGAGAGUUGGAGGAAGAGAUAUACAUGACUCAGCCGGAUGGUUUCCAAGUUCCAGGGAAAGAAAAUCACGUCUGCAAGUUGAAGAAGUCCUUAUAUGGACUUAAGUAGUCUCCAAGGCAGUGGUACAAAAGGUUUGAUAGCUAUAUGGUGAAGUUGGGCUAUACUCGGAGCUCAUAUGAUUGUUGUGUCUACUACAAUAGGCUCAAGGAUGAUUCAUUCAUCUAUCUGGUGCUUUAUGUAGAUGAUAUGUUGAUAGCUGCAAAGAAGAAGUAUGACAUUCAAAAGCUGAAGGGUUUACUUAGUGCUGAGUUUGAGAUGAAGGAUCUGGGAGCCGCGCGGAAGAUUCUAGGGAUGGAGAUCAUUAGAGACAGAGAGAAGGAAACUUUUCUUGUCACAGAGAAGUUACAUUUAGAAGGUCUUGGCGAGGUUUGGCAUGUCUUCAUCUAAGCCUAUUGAUACCCCCAGUGCUGUCAAUAUCCAUCUCACUGCCAUGUUCGCUCCACAGUCAGAAGAAGAGAAAGAGUAUAUGUCACGAGUCCCUUAUGCCAGUGCCGUAGGAAGUUUAAUGUAUGCUAUGGUCUGUACAAGGCAAGAUUUAGCACAUGCAGUCAGUGUAGUGAGCAGAUUCAUAGGACAACCAGGGAGAGAACAUUGGCAGGCUGUGAAGAGAAUUUUCCGGUACCUUAGAGGUACAUCUGACGUUGGUCUCAUUUAUGGAGGUGAUACUCAGUGCUUGGUUACUGGCUAUUCUGAUUCUGACUAUGCUGGAGAUGUUGACACAAGAAGAUUGAUGACUGGCUAUAUUUUUACCCUUGGAGGAUCUGUCGUCAGUUGGAAGGCAACUUUGCAACCUACAGUGACUUCGUCUACUACGGAAGCGGAGUACAUGGCCUUGACAGAGGCUGCAAAAGAAGGGAUUUGGCUGAAAGGGCUGGUUAGUGAUCUUGGUCUGCAUCAUGAUCAGGCUACGGUGUAAUGUGACAGUUUGAGCAUAAUUUGUCUAGCAAAGGAUCAAGUCCAUCAUGAGAGAACCAAGCAUAUUGACGUAAGGUAUCAUUUUUUGAGAAGUGAGAAGAGAAUCAAGGUGAAGAAAGUAGGCACUGCUGAUAAUCCUGCUGAUAUGUUCACAAAGCCGGUUCCACAGAGCAAGUUUCAACACUGUUUGGACUUGCUCAACAUUAGAAGCUAUUAAUUGCCCUGCGGGGGCAAUUCUAAGGAAGAGGGGGAGGCCUGGCACUAUCAUAGUGCAUCUGAAGAAUCUGUUCGGAGAAUUCAAGUCAAGGUGGAGAUUUGUUGAAUGUCUUGAAUCAAUUCUGUAUGUUUGGCCCAAGCCUGUUAGGGCGUAGCUUAGCACUAUAUAUAGACGCUAUGGCAAACCCUAUUCUGUAUUCUGUUUUUGCCUCUCCAUAAUAAAACUGCUCCCUCUCUUCCCCGUGGACGUAGCCAAUUUAUUGGUGAACCACGUAAAUCUGUUGUCUUGUUUUUUGCAUUUAUAUUUUCUCGUAUUAUCUCGAAUUUCGCACAUUAAGUUAUUUCAUGAGUUAUAUCUUUUGUGUUUAAGUCUUCCGCUGAGUAAGUAAGUCAGACCAAGGGUUCGCUAGAGGCCAGCAACGGUCUUCAAGUAUAUGUCCCGCUCAUGGUGUAGGCACGGAGCAUGAGAAAAACUGCUAUAUAAACUGAUUUCUAUGCAGGUUGUAGUUGAGGCAGCUUAUUUGGGAUGAAAGGAGUACUCAUCAUAUUCUAGAUAAUUUUGUUUUAUUUAGGUGUUUACUUGUUGAGUACGACCUUAACAACAUGGUUACCCUUUUGGUUUCAUCCUUAAAUUAUUUGCCUUUUAUUUAAUUUUUUUAAUCAAUUUUAUUGAAUUUUGACUCUGGAUUAAUAUAUAUAUACAUACAUAUCAUUGUUUUAGAGAAUCUAAAAACUAGAAAUGAAAUGAAUUUAUUAUUGAAUCUGAAAAAUUACAAAGUACAACAAUGUAACAGAUGAAAAAACAUUGCUUUAUUCUUCUUUCUCUCUUAAGAAAUAUUUUGCAUCCUUUGGUCCAUCUUGAGGGCUUCAACUUAAACUUUUCAUUUUUUCAAUAUCUUCUGCAAAAACUACAGAUAAAAACAUAUGUUUAUAUUAUUAGAAAAUGAAAACAAUAACUUAGUGCAAUAUAUAUCACAUGUUAAAUUAUACAUAUAUAUUUUGAUAAAACAAAAAAGAUUUACCUCGGAGAAUCUUAGCAACACAUUCACCUCCACAAGGGGUCUCACAAGCAGAUUUUUCCUUGCCACUAGAAAUACAUAAAGCUACACAUUUAGUGCGACAUUUUCCAUAAUCAUCAGCCAUAUUUUCAUAUGUCAUUCUGAAUCUUUCAUCAUUUACUUCUUUGGUAGCCAUGGAGAUGUCCACACAUGAAGAAAUCACAAAAAUGCAAAUGAGAAACAAUGAAAAAAACUUCUUUGAUGCCCCCAUCUUUAUUUUUUUGUUUUUUAAAUAUUUUUUUUGUUGUUUUGUUUGGUUUUCAGAUGAUUUGAUUAAUGUUAUUGAAU